rnacentral:rRNA from 1 species
GACAGAGGGUGCAAACGUUGUUCGGAAUUACUGGUCGUAAAGCGUGUGUAGGCGGUCCACUAAGUCGGGUGUGAAAGCCCUGGGCUCAACCCAGGAAGUGCACUCGAAACUGGCGGGCUAGAGUAUCGGAGAGGUUGGUGGAAUUCUCGGUGUAGAGGUGAAAUUCGUAGAUAUCGAGAGGAACACCGGUGGCGAAGGCGGCAUCCUGGACCAUUACUGACGCUGAGGUGCGAAAGCUAGGGGAGCAAACAGG